CUAUAAAAACUCUCCAUCAGGCUGUCAGUGGAGUUCACAGCACCUCACUUUCAACAUCAAGCAUGUUUUCUGGAGCUCUGCUGCUGCUGCUGGCAGCUGGAUGUGUGAAGGCUGAAACUCUGACACAGCCAGCCUCUGUGACUGUGCAGCCAGGUCAGAGUCUGACCAUCACCUCUCAGGUCUCUUAUUCUGUUAGCGACUACUACACAUCCUGGAUCAGACAGCCUGCAGGGAAAGGACUGGAGUGGAUUGGAUGCAGAUUCACUGGAGGCACUCACUACAAAGAUUCACUGAGGAACAAGUUCAGUAUUGAUUUAGACUCCUCCAGAAACACAGUGAUUUUAAAGAUGAACAGUCUGCAGACUGAGGACACAGCAGUGUAUUACUGUGCCAGAGACAGUGUCAACAGGAUUGAUCUCAUCCAGCCAGGAUCAAUGGUUGUGCAGCCUGGACAGACUCUGACCAUCACCUGUCAGCUCUCUGGUUACUCUAUCACUGAUAGCAGCUAUGGUACAGGCUGGAUCAGACAGCCUGCAGGGAAAGGACAGGCCAUGUGGAGAGAUGUGGUUCUCAACUGGGGGGUCGGGACCCAGAAGUGGUUUUCAGUGGGUCAUGAAUAUGUGUCUGGAAAAAAAACGGUGGCAAAAGUCUAA